rnacentral:pre_miRNA from 1 species
UGUAUCCAGUGUUUACUUAGUCAGGUACUGAGUGACUUUGAGCAUAUACAAAAUUACCCAAAGCUGCUUGGUACCUAACUAUGUGGACAUCUGUUUCUACGGUUUUUGUC